rnacentral:misc_RNA from 1 species
AACGCAUAUUGCAUUCUCCGUUUUUUUUGCGGAGAGUAUGCCUGUUUCAGGGUCUAUUGAAAAAAAUCCGGAAUUUCAUUUCUGGGAGAUGAACUUUUUUCGUGUCUCUUGAUGCGAUGGUUUGAAAUUAAGGCGUUUACAACUGAUAGGACGCGUAAUAGUAGUAAAAUGCUAAUAUCGUAACUUGUCAGGUGUUUAUUAAACGUGUAGUUUGACCAUGUCCGAGUUUACUCUUGGAUUGUGAUCGAACAACAAGUCUCAAAUAGACCUGAAAUCAGGCAAGAUUACCCGCUGAACUUAA